rnacentral:misc_RNA from 1 species
UCUCCAUCAACUGUUGAAAGUCUUUGUCUGUUUAAGGCUCAAAUAUAUGUGGGCUUGGUUAGGUGUCUCUAAUCUCAUAAAUCUCGUCGUUUUCUGUCUCAAAUGGGAUAAAGCUGAAGAAAUUCUGGCUUUAAUCUUGAAGCUGAACACUCCUCUGUUCAACCCAAAAAAUUUGGUCAUAUGGUCAGGUGCUCAUGGCUUGUCAGGAAAUUGCGUUCUGUAGCUUAACACCUGCAUGAUGUUAGUUAAAUAUUUCAGCAUAUCGGCAUUGAUAGUUGGGCAAGUGGCAACUUGUACUUGCAGAAAGUAUAGCUAAUCUGUAUAUUAUUAAUUUCUUGUCUUCAAGGUACAUUAGGAAUGCUCUACAGAAGAUAAGACAUUUUUUGUUUUUG